rnacentral:misc_RNA from 1 species
GUGGCCACGAGCGGUUCAAUGCCGAAUAAUUUGAUUAGAGCUGCAACCCCAGUGUCAUCUUUGCUGAAAACUUCCACUGUGAUGCAUGUUGGCCAUGUUAGUAACUUAACUUUGGUUGUAUUUAAGAAAAAACUCGAAGAAUAUCGCCAUUUGGAGCCUCACCUCUCUUCUGAAUGUCGCUCUCUCACAAGGAACAAGCCUUUAAUUCCUAAAAUAGAGCCUCUUGUGAAGGAAAAACCUGUGGGGUUUGACAAAAAACUGUCUUAUUUACCGAAGCUCGUUGAUGCUUCAAG